AAACAUGUCUUUUUGCUUAUAAUAUAAAGUYUGACCUGCCCUAUGAAUAAGUUAAUUUUAAAUGGCUGCGGUACUCUGACCGUGCAAAGGUAGCAUAAUAAUUAGUUUUUUAAUUGGGAACUGGUAUGAAAGGUCGAACGAGAAAAAGACUGUCUCAAUUUAAUUUAAAUUAGAAUUUUAUUUUUAAGUAAAAAAGCUUAAAUAUUUUUAAAAGACGAGAAGACCCUAUAGAGUUUUAUAUAAUUUGUUAUUUUUGAAAGUUAAAGAAUUUUAGAUUCGAUUAUAUUAAAUUAUAUUUGGUUGGGGCAAUUAAAAAAUUAAAGUAAUUUUUUUUAAAUUAUACCAUUGAUAUAUGAUUAAGUGAUCCAUAGUUUAUGAUUAAAAGAUUAAAUUACCUUAGGGAUAACAGCGUAANUUUUUUUUAGAGUUCUUAUCGAAAAAAGAGUUUGCGACCUCGAUGUUGGAUUAAAAUUUACUUUUGGCGCAGCAACUAAAAGGAUUAGGUCUGUUCGACCUUUAAAAUUUUACAKGA
rnacentral:rRNA from 1 species